CAGUGGCGUCUACGGAGGAAGCAGGAAGUCUGGGGAAACGCCUUUCCCCUGGGGGCGGAGGCUUAUUUGCAUGCCUCGGGAACUCCUGGUUGGCAGGUUCUGUCCCCGCCCACGGAAGAGGCGGGACGUGGGCGUGGCCGUCUACGGCCAAGCAGACUGUUCACUGCCUCCCGCAGCGGCUGGAGGUCGUCUAGAGACCUGGGGCCGCGCCGCCUGUCCUUGCAGUGCGGCUCCAGACGGUCCCUGCUGAGUCAGUGACUUGUAAAGUGGUGUUAGGUGAAUGCAGCCCAGAAUGUCUCCAUGGAGCCAGCGGUGUUUGCAGCCUGGCAAGGCAUGUUGACCGAGUGGCUUUCCUCAAGCUCUCCCGAUUUUACACCGGUCACACCGUGUGCACCACAUUCUCAACAGCUCUUAAGCAUGGACGCCGUCUGGUCCUUCCAUUCUCCCCUUCUCGACUUAGGGAAAGUUUCUCUUGCAGGGGAAGGACCCCAGUGAACCGGGGAGGCUGCGCCCUGCCGUCCGGUGAGGUGGAGUUUCUGAUGAAAGUCCUGGAAAACUGCAGAUUUAUAGCUGAGGAGGGAGAAAGGUCUUGAGCAGUUAAUUGUGCCGGAAUUCCUGCUUCUCUGUAGACAUUGCUACCCAAGCCCCAGAGCCAACUUGCGAAGCUCUGGGAGGCAGAGUCCACAUCCUGCUGGUGGAUCCCAAACGAGGCAAUUCCUCCACACAUCAGUUCCCUCCCUGUCACUGUAGCUGGCGUGAAGAAUCCUGGCUUCCUCUGAGUGGAGUCUGGAAGAGCUCCAUGAACAGGAGUGCAGAGAUGACACUUGCCUGUGUGUGGUGCCUACUGUGUCCUGGAACUGUGGGAGAUUUUGAGCUGAAGAAACCUCAGCCUGAAGUGGGAGAGGACCAGAGGAGAAGUAACUCAGACAGACACAGAGGAUCCAAGAGUGACUCCCAUCCCAGAUCGGGAAGUUAGUUCAGGACAGAGGGGCUCCAGAACAUAGGACUGUGGUUUCACAACCACGGUGAGCUGGGACUGCAGCCCCUCUGCAGCCUGGACUCUGCCCUCACUAUGUGCUCCUCACUGCCAGGUAACAUUUUCCUCCCGUAAAACAUGGCUUCUAUCAGUUGGAUUCAUAAACCUGCUAAUGAUCCCUGAAGGCCAGCCUUGUGCCCCAUAGGCAGACAUCUGAGGCCCUUCAUUAGGGAAGCCCAGCUACCCACCCCACCCCCACCUCCCAUGUACACACACAGACAUGGCUUCUUUGCCUCCUCACACCAUCCCAGGAGCUCUUUCUCCAGUUCACCAGGUAUCCCGUCUGACCCCCAGGGCCCUGGACUCCCAGCCCUGCUCCACCCAUGUGAUUGCUGGCAUUUAUCACCCCACCUCACAGCUGUCCCAGAAGCUAUCUCCUGCAGACACUCACUUCUCCCUCUGCUGGGAUGAGUGUGUGUUUCUCUCAGGGGAACUUGCCUGGGCUUAUGGGGACAAGUGGAUCAAUGUCACUCAACAGCCAGAGCCAACAGUACCCAGAAAUGCGGGAACAACGAGGAACACUGUCCUUUGGAACCUGUGGACCAGUGUAGAGUGUUGAAAAGUGGCCUCAGAGAACUAGCCCCUGUGAAUGUAAGCCAGCUACCCAAAGGGUCUUUGCAAAUGCCAAUGAAGAACCUCAGAAUGAAGUCACUUGGGGUAGGGUAGACUCCUAGUACAGUUUAUUCCCAAAAGACACAGAUAUUAAAGGCCUGGCCCCCAGUCUGUGGGGCUAUUAGAAGUUGGUAGGACCCUUAGGAGGAGGAGCCUAAUGUCAGAAACUGGGGUGAUUGGGAAUGUCCCAUCAGAUUGUGGGGCCCAGACCUUCCGCAUUCUCUUUUACUUCCUGGCCAUGCAGUGGGUGGUUUUGCUUUGUCACAUGCCCCCAUAAAGUGCCAUCUUGCCAACAGUUCAAAAACUGUGGAUCUGCUCUGUGGCCUCACCAACGGGCCACCCAGCUCCUCACUCAGCAACGGAAGGAGAGUUUUUCACCGCCUGCCCACACUGUCUCAGAAAGCAACACUCUGAUUUCCCUCUGGAUCAGGAGCAAGUUCAGCUGGACCCCCAACCAGGACAGAGGGUAUACAAAAGGCUCCCCUAAAGGACUUGGAAGACAGGAGAAGGCAAAGAAGUCACAGCAUGUAACUGCUCUUAGCCGUGUUACCCAAAAGCACUCUUUGGGGGACUUUUCCUUUCAGAAGUUAAUUAUUCUCACACUUAGAAUUUAUUUCCUCAUAGGCCCCAAACCAAAGGGCACAAGCACAAAGGGGGUGUUGUGGAAGCUGAGGCUCCUGCAGAGGUCAUGUUGGGGUCAGAAUCGACGGCACUACCUUGGGCAGGGAACCAGCAGAAGGCUAUUUCUGAAGCCAUAAAGGCUCAAAACACCCUGCAUUGCAAAUUAAUAAAUAUCAUUGUUGAUAGACAGGAACAAA